UCGAGGAUCUUCGGCAAUGGGCGCAAGCCUGACCGAGCGACGCCGCGUGGACGAUGAAGGCCUUCGGGUUGUAAAGUCCUUUAGUGGGGGAGGAAGGCGCAAGCUUGACCUAUCCCAAGAAUAAGCACGGGCUAAGUUCGUGCCAGCAGCCGCGGUAAGACGAACCGUGCGAACGUUGUUCGGAAUCACUGGGCUUAAAGGGCGCGUAGGCGGUCUAGCCAGUCCGGGGUGAAAGCCUCCAGCUCAACUGGAGAAGUGCCUUGGAUACUGCUGGACUCGAGUGAGGUAGGGGUGAUGGGAACUUCCGGUGGAGCGGUGAAAUGCGUUGAUAUCGGAAGGAACGCCGGUGGCGAAAGCGCAUCACUGGACCUCUUCUGACGCUGAGGCGCGAAAGCCAGGGGAGCAAACGG
rnacentral:rRNA from 1 species